rnacentral:rRNA from 1 species
GACGAACGCUGGCGGCGUGCCUAACACAUGCAAGUCGAGCGGAGUUGACAAGAGGAAGUUUUCGGAUGGAAUCUUGUUGAUUUAGCGGCGGACGGGUGAGUAACGCGUGAGCGACCAACCUUGCACAGGGGGAUAACGGACCGAAAGGUUCACUAAUACCGCAUGAGACCACGGUGUUGCAUGACACAGGGGUCAAAGGAGCAAUCCGGUGCAAGACGGGCUCGCGUCCGAUUAGGUAGUUGGUGGGGUAAUGGCUCACCAAGCCUAUGAUCGGUAGCCGACCUGAGAGGGUGAUCGGCCACAUUGGAACUGAGAUACGGUCCAAACUCCUACGGGUGGCAG